rnacentral:tRNA from 2 species
UGGGGGAUAGUUUAACGGUAGAACAAAGGACUCUGAAUCCUUUAGUCUAGGUUCGAAUCCUAGUCCCCCAACCA